rnacentral:rRNA from 1 species
GUGAGUCAUCGAAUCUUUGAACGCACCUUGCGCCUUUUGGUAUUCCAAAAGGCACACCUGUUUGAGUGUCAUGAAACCCUCUCACAAAACAACUUUAUUGUUGCUUUUUUGUGGAUGUUGAGUGUUGCUAUAUUGUUAUAGCUCACUUUAAAUAUAUAAGUCACACUUUUCAAGUAAGUUGGAUUGACUUGGUGUAAUAAUUUUCCAUCAUCACAUCAAGGAAAGUAGCAAUACUUGCCAUCUUUUGAAAGGAGGGACUCCUAAAAAACCCCUCAUAACACUUUUUUAAGACCUCAAAUCAGGUGGGACUACCCGCUGAACUUAA